AUUGAACGCUGGCGGCAGGCCCAACACAUGCAAGUCGAACGGCAGCACAGUGGAGCUUGCUCCAUGGGUGGCGAGUGGCGGACGGGUGAGGAAUACAUCGGAAUCUGCCCAGUCGUGGGGGAUAACAUAGGGAAACUUAUGCUAAUACCGCAUACGACCUACGGGUGAAAGCGGGGGAUCGCAAGACCUCGCGCGAUUGGAUGAGCCGAUGUCCGAUUAGCUAGUUGGCGGGGUAAUGGCCCACCAAGGCGACGAUCGGUAGCUGGUCUGAGAGGAUGAUCAGCCACACUGGAACUGAGACACGGUCCAGACUCCUACGGGAGGCAGCAGUGGGGAAUAUUGGACAAUGGGCGCAAGCCUGAUCCAGCCAUGCCGCGUGGGUGAAGAAGGCCUUCGGGUUGUAAAGCCCUUUUGUCCGGAAAGAAAAGCCUCGGAUUAAUACCCUGGGGUGAUGACGGUACCGGAAGAAUAAGCACCGGCUAACUUCGUGCCAGCCGCCGCGGUAAAAC
rnacentral:rRNA from 1 species